UACAGAGGGUGCAAGCGUUAAUCGGAAUUACUGGGCGUAAAGCGUGCGUAGACGGUUAUGUAAGUCGGGUGUGAAAGCCCCGGGCUCAACCUGGGAAUGCCAUUCGAGACUGCAUAGCUAGGGUGCGGAAGAGGGAAGCGGAAUUUCCGGUGUAGCGGUGAAAUGCGUAGAUAUCGGAAGGAACACCAGUGGCGAAAGCGGCUUCCUGGUCCAGCACCGACGUUCAGGCACGAAAGCGUGGGGAGCAAACAGGG
rnacentral:rRNA from 1 species